UACGGGGGGGGCAAGCGUUGUUCGGAAUUACUGGGCGUAAAGGGCUCGUAGGCGGCCAACUAAGUCAGACGUGAAAUCCCUCGGCUUAACCGGGGAACUGCGUCUGAUACUGGAUGGCUUGAGGUUGGGAGAGGGAUGCGGAAUUCCAGGUGUAGCGGUGAAAUGCGUAGAUAUCUGGAGGAACACCGGUGGCGAAGGCGGCUCUCUGGGACGGUACUGACGCUGAGACGCGAAAGCGUGGGGAGCGAACAGU
rnacentral:rRNA from 1 species